UUGUAAUGACCGUAAACAGGGAGCUAAAAUUAAUAAAAAAAUGGAUGGAUAUAAAUAAAUUAUCAUUAAAUAUAAGUAAAACUAAAGCAAUGUUUUUUGGUAAUUUAAAAUAUAAUAUAGAAUUACCAAUCAUCAUUGAAGGUGUACCAAUUGAUAAUGUGAGUGAAAACAAAUUUUUGGGAGU